rnacentral:rRNA from 1 species
UACGUAGGUGGCGAGCGUUAUCCGGAUUGACUGGGUGUAAAGAGUUGCGUAGGUGGCAGGGUAAGUAGAUAGUGAAAUCUGGUGGCUCAACCAUUCAGACUAUUAUCUAAACUGCUCCGCUCGAGAACGUUAGGGGUAGCUGGAAUUUCUAGUGUAGGAGUGAAAUCCGUAGAUAUUAGAAAGAACACCGAUAGCGUAGGCAGGCUACUGGGACGUUUCUGGCACUAAGGCACGAAAGCGUAGGGAGCAA